UACGUAGGGGGCAAGCGUUGUCCGGAAUCAUUGGGCGUAAAGCGCGCGUAGGCGGCCCGGUAAGUCCGCUCUGAAAGUCCAAGGCUCAACCUUGGGAUGCGGGUGGAUACUGCCGGGCUAGAGUCCGGAAGAGGCGAGUGGAAUUCCCGGUGUAGCGGUGAAAUGCGCAGAUAUCGGGAGGAACACCAGUGGCGAAGGCGACUUCCUGGCCUGUUCUUGACGCUGAGGCGCGAAAGCUAGGGGAGCAAACGGG
rnacentral:rRNA from 1 species